AUUGAACGCUGGCGGCAUGCCUUACACAUGCAAGUCGAACGGCAGCACGGGAGCAAUCCUGGUGGCGAGUGGCGAACGGGUGAGUAAUAUAUCGGAACGUGCCCAGUCGUGGGGAUAACGUAGCGAAAGCUACGCUAAUACCGCAUACGAUCUAAGGAUGAAAGCGGGGGAUCGCAAGACCUCGCGCGAUUGGAGCGGCCGAUAUCAGAUUAGGUAGUUGGUGGGGUAAAGGCUCACCAAGCCAACGAUCUGUAGCUGGUCUGAGAGGACGACCAGCCACACUGGAACUGAGACACGGUCCAGACUCCUACGGGAGGCAGCAGUGGGGGAAUUUUUGGGACAAUGGACGCAAGUCUGAUCCAGCCAUUCCGCGUGCAGGAUGAAGGCCCUCGGGUUGUAAACUGCUUUUGUACGGAACGAAAGGUUUGUCUUAAUACGAUGAGCUCAUGACGGUACCGUAAGAAUAAGCACCGGCUAACUACGUGCCAG
rnacentral:rRNA from 1 species